GUAGGUCAUAGUGAUCCGGUGGUUCUGUAUGGAAGGGCCAUCGCUCAACGGAUAAAAGGUACUCCGGGGAUAACAGGCUGAUACCGCCCAAGAGUUCACAUCGACGGCGGUGUUUGGCACCUCGAUGUCGGCUCAUCACAUCCUGGGGCUGAAGCCGGUCCCAAGGGUAUGGCUGUUCGCCAUUUAAAGUGGUACGCGAGCUGGGUUUAGAACGUCGUGAGACAGUUCGGUCCCUAUCUGCCGUGGACGUUGGAAAAUUGAGAAGAGCUGCUCCUAGUACGAGAGGACCGGAGUGGACGAACCUCUGGUGUUCGGGUUGUGUCGCCAGACGCAUUGCCCGGUAGCUAUGUUCGGACAGGAUAACCGCUGAAAGCAUCUAAGCGGGAAGCCCCCUUCAAGAUAAGUUUUCCCUGAUUCCUUGAGAAUCCUAAAGGGCCCUUAAAGACUAUGAGGUUGAUAGGCAGGGUGUGUAAGCGUUGUGAGGCGUUGAGCUAACCUGUACUAAUUGCCCGUGAGGCUUGACUAUAUAACGCCAAAGCGU
rnacentral:rRNA from 1 species